GCCAAGGCUGGGUCUCCUACCUGAGAGUUUUCUCCUCCAUGCUACAGCCACACCAUGUCCAUUCAGUCAAUGUUCCAUGAUAGCAUGAAGCAUGUCACAUUUCGGCCUCAAGUCAACAAGUAUCCACUGGGUGCCGAGGGCAUGUGUUAUACACACUUACUUCAUCAGCGGUUUUAAGAAGACAGCCCGUGUCUCAAAAGCUCCCACUCUCCCCUGGAAGGCUACAGGACAUUUUAAAGGCUGAAAUAUUUAAAUGAAGAAAAUAAAGAGUAAAAAAAUUGGUUUGGAAGAAUCCAAUCAGACUGCAAGAUUUCUGCAAUCCUGGGGAAAAUCCUUGGAAGGCUGGAGGAGCUCAGAGCUGCCGACCAGGAGCAGAGCUGUUCAGGAAGGAGACAGUGAGUGAGUGAAGCUGGGUAUUGAUGCUUGGGGAGGGUUUCUUGGAAACUUCAUGGACAAUGUAUAUCUUAUCCUUGAUUAUAUCUCCCUUGCUGCUUGGGUUAUUGAGAAAGUUCAAAGUCAGCUUUGAAACCAGGACUAAGUAACCCAGGGAAUAUGGCCAAUUACUAAAGGCAGGGGUUGAUCCUGGAAGGUGUAUUGUAAGGCCUAAAAUUUCACAGGCAGCCUUGACAUCCUUGAGCUUCACAGAGACCCAAAGACCUA
rnacentral:lncRNA from 1 species